UGGGGGAUAGUUUAAAGGUAGAACUCUUGACUCUGAAUCAAGCAAUCUUGGUUCGAAUCCAGGUCUCCCAG
rnacentral:tRNA from 1 species